rnacentral:rRNA from 1 species
GACGAACGCUGGCGGCGUGCUUAACACAUGCAAGUCGAACGGAAAGGCCCUGCUUGCUGGGUGCUCGAGUGGCGAACGGGUGAGUAACACGUGGGUGAUCUGCCCCUUACUUUGGGAUAAGCCUGGGAAACUGGGUCUAAUACUGGAUAGGUCCAUGCUGUAGGGGGUGUGGUGGAAAGAUUAGUUUCGGUAAGGGAUGAGCUCGCGGCCUAUCAGCUUGUUGGUGGGGUAAUGGCCUACCAAGGCGUCGACGGGUAGCCGGCCUGAGAGGGUGGACGGCUACAUUGAGACUGCUAUACGGACCAGACGCCUACGAGAGUCAGCAGUGGGGAAUAUUGCACAAUGGGCGCAAGCCUGAUGCAGCGACGCCGCGUGGGGGAUGACGGCCUUCUGGUUGUAACCUCCUUGCAGCCAUGACGAAGCACUUGUGAUGACGGUAGUGGAAGAAGAAGCACCGGCUAACUACGUG